rnacentral:hammerhead_ribozyme from 1 species
AUCCAGCUGACGAGUCCCAAAAGGAGCGAAACACACGUCCUAGAU